GACAGGGCGUUGAAAGCACCGCGGAACUUGAAGGCGCCCAUGCGCUGCAGGUUCUCGCACUUCAGGAAGACGCGGGCGCCCAGCGCCUCGUCCAGCGUGCGCGAGGUGAGCACGGGCGUGCGGUGGGCAUGGCCCUGGAUGCGUUGGGCCGCUGCGGCCACGUCGUCAUAGGUGGGAAGGCUUGUCAUCGGUACGGGAGAGAAGGGGUUGCAGAUCGGCGGGGUGCCGGGAGCUACUUGGCGUAGCUGUAGACCGUGGCGCGCGACACGCCCAGGUGGGCGGCAAUGGUCUCCAUGGAGCGGCGAAGGUCCAGCAGGCCGUCGCCCUUGAGUUCAC
rnacentral:tmRNA from 1 species